GCUGUCCUGACCAAAGGCCACGCUGGAAAC
rnacentral:piRNA from 1 species